UACGAGUGGCUCAAGCGUUAUCCGGAAUUAUUGGGCGUAAAGGGUGUGUAGGUGGUUAUAUUAGUUAAAUGUCUAACCUCUGGGCUCAACCUGGAGACAGCAUUUAAAACGGUAUGACUAGAGUAUGUAGUGUAGCGGUGAAAUGCUUAGAUAUUACAUGGAAUACCGAUUGCGAAGGCAGGUUACUACUAAUGGAUUGACGCUGAUGGACGAAAGCGUGGGUAGCGAACAGG
rnacentral:rRNA from 1 species